rnacentral:lncRNA from 10 species
GAAAAAGUUAAAAAAAAAAUCUUUAUUUUUCAUUUAUCCAAUAUUUCUUGAAAUCAAGUUAAAAUUUAAUAAUUUAAUAAUAAAAUUUAAUAAUUUAAAUAAUCAAAGACACAUGUACUAAAAAAAACUAAUGCUGUUCUUCAUUGAGCUUUGCCUAUGUAUCACUGGGUUAAGGAGCCUGACUUAGAUAAUCUCAUAUUAGCAAUACAUUAUUUAAUCUUUGAAUGGACAAAAAUAUAGAGUAUUAAGAGAAUCAGACUGCAGGUGUCUAUGUGAACUGAGGAUACAGAAUUGAAGCAUAUUUAGUUUUCAAACUGGAACAGCAGAGGAAGAUUAAAUUUUGCAUGAUGAAAAAGCAACACAUUCUAUCUCAAGUAUCAGAAGUGGGUUUGGCUUUGCUUCAUUCUUUUUAUACUUCUUAAUUUAACACAUAGUUAUAGACAAUACGUAAGCCUAUAACAUAUAUUGAAUCCUGCUUUUGUCCCUUAACAACAAUUUUCACAGAAUUUUGUAUACAUAUACAGAAUCAUGUUACAGUAGGGAGCCCUCUGCUGGCUUGAAAUUAGGAAAUUUAAGGCAUAAACAUUCUCAAGACCCUGAUUCUACAUUCUAGAGACUUUUCAGUGGGUAAAACACAUUCUUCAGUAAUGGCAAAGAAAAGAGACUUUUUGCUAAUCUUUACAUAGUUGUUUAGUAUGUCAGAAGAGCUUAAUGAUUCCCCAAGGAAUGAUACAUAAAUAUGUGUAUAUGCUUUAAUAUAUGUGAAUUUAUAGGAUUAGCCUAAAAAUGAGUUUAAUAAUAGAAAUGUUAAUAAAUAAUUCCCCCAAAUGAGAAAAGAUCCUUUUGUGGUGAAGUUCAGUUUUCUUUGAGUAAAUUGAAUUCUGUCUAUUCUCUCUCUUCUCUCUUGGGUUUACCUCACUGUG